rnacentral:rRNA from 1 species
AAUUGACCUCGGAUCAGGUAGGGAUACCCGCUGAACUUAAGCAUAUCAAUAAGCGGAGGAAAAGAAACCAACAGGGAUUGCCUCAGUAACGGCGAGUGAAGCGGCAUCAGCUCAAAUUUGAAAUCUGGCUCCUUCGGGGUCCGAGUUGUAAUUUGUAGAGAGUGCUUCGGGGGAGAGUGCGGUCUAAGUCCGUUGGAACACGGCGUCAUAGAGGGUGAGAAUCCCGUAUGCGACCGCGGCUCGAGCCCGUGUGAAGCCUCUUCGACGAGUCGAGUUGUUUGGGAAUGCAGCUCAAAAUGGGUGGUAAAUUUCAUCUAAAGCUAAAUACUGGCUGGAGACCGAUAGCGCACAAGUAGAGUGAUCGAAAGAUGAAAAGCACUUUGGAAAGAGAGUUAAACAGUACGUGAAAUUGUUGAAAGGGAAGCGCUGGCAACCAGACCUGUCCGUAGGUGAUCAGCCGCUGUUCUCAGUGGUGCACUCGCUCUGCGAUCAGGCCAGCAUCGGUUCUGGCGGUCGGAUAAAGGCCUUGGGAAUGUAGCUUCACUUUGGGGGAGUCUUAUAGCCCUCGGUGCAAUGCGGCCAGCCGGGACCGAGGACCGCGCUUCGGCUAGGAUGCUGGCGUAAUGGUUGUCAGCGACCCGUCUUGAAACACGGACCAAGGAGUCUAACAUCUAUGCGAGUGUUUGGGUGUUAAACCCAUGCGCGGAAUGAAAGUGAACGGAGGUGAGAACCCUUAAGGGCGCAUCAUCGACCGAUCCAGAUGUCUUCGGAUGGAUUUGAGUAUGAGCAUUCAUGUUGGGACCCGAAAGGUAAUGAUCAGUCCUUAUUAUAUUUUAUCGAAUCCAAGCUAAUAGACUUUAUAGAUGGUGAACUAUGCCUGAAUAGGGUGAAGCCAGAGGAAACUCUGGUGGAGGCUCGCAGCGGUUCUGACGUGCAAAUCGAUCGUCAAAUUUGGGUAUAGGGGCGAAAGACUAAUCGAACCAUCGCGCUACAGGUGGUUAAUUAAUGUAUAUCGCGUUCGCGAGUACUUUCAGUCCCUCGGGGCGACAUCACUACUUUGCAUGAACAUAUCUUUGAGAUUGACAUGCUGCAGACCUUUCUUAUCGGGGGUUUGCUCACAGACCAAACAGUGGUGGCCGGGGUUCCCUUUCUUGGGGAACGCCUGGUUCAGAAAUGGCCGAGUUCUGCUCUUAAGGGAGUUGGUCUCGGGGCCGUGGAUUUAAUUCCGAGUCGAAAUCACUCGAUCGGUCGUGGGAUCUUAUAGUACAAACGCUAGUAGCUGGUUCCUGCCGAAGUUUCCCUCAGGAUAGCAGUAACGUUUUCAGUUUUAUGAGGUAAAGCGAAUGAUUAGAGGCCUUGGGGUUGRAACAACCUUAACCUAUUCUCAAACUUUAAAUAUGUAAGAAGUCCUUGUUACUUAGUUGAACGU